rnacentral:rRNA from 1 species
CCUACGGGAGGCAGCAGUGGGGAAUCUUGCGCAAUGGGCGAAAGCCUGACGCAGCAACGCCGCGUGCGGGAAGAAGGCUUUCGGGCUGUAAACCGCUUUCAGCAGGAACGAAAAUGACGGUACCUGCAGAAGAAGGAGCGGCCAACUAUGUGCCAGCAGCCGCGGUGAUACAUAGGCUUCAAGCGUUGUCCGGAUUUAUUGGGCGUAAAGAGUUCGUAGGCGGUCGAGUAAGUCGGGUGUGAAAAUUCUGGGCUCAACCCAGAGACGCCACCCGAUACUGCUUAACUUGAGUUCGAUAGGGGAGUGGGGAAUUCCUAGUGUAGCGGUGAAAUGCGCAGAUAUUAGGAGGAACACCGGUGGCGAAGGCGCCACUCUGGAUCGAUACUGACGCUGAGGAACGAAAGCAUGGGUAGCAAACAGGAUUAGAUACCCUGGUAGUCCAUGCCGUAAACGGUGGGCACUAGGUGUGGGGAUUCUAUUAACGAAUUCCGCGCCGUCGCUACGCAUUAAGUGCCCCGCCUGGGGAGUACGGUCGCGAAGACUAAAACUCGAAAGGAAUUGACGG